GCGGACGUGGCGGAAUUGGUAUACGCGUAUGGCUUAGGACCAUAUCCCUUCGUGGGUUGAGAGUUCAAGUCUCUCCGUCCGCACCA
rnacentral:tRNA from 1 species